CACCCGCAGCUCUAGUGGUGGUCACUUUUAUUGAGCCUAAAGCGUUCGUAGCCGGUUCUGUAAAUCUUCAGAUAAAUUCAUUCGCUCAACGGAUGAUCUUCUGAAGAGACUGUAGAACUUGGGACCGGGUGAGGUUGAAUGUACUUCCGGGGUAGGGGUAAAAUCCUGUAAUCCUGGAAGGACAACCGGUGGCGAAGGCGUUCAACUAGAACGGAUCCGACGGUGAGGAACGAGGGCUAGGGGAGCAAACCGGAUUAGAUACCCGGGUAGUCCUAGCUGUAAACACUGCCCACUUGGUGUUGCCUCUCUGUUGAAGGGGGGCAGUGCCGGAGCGAAGGUGUUAAGUGGGCCGCUUGGGGAGUGUGGUCGCAAGGCUGAAACUUAAAGGAAUUGGCGGGGGAGCACCGCAACGGGAGGAGCGUGCGGUUUAAUUGGAUUCAACGCCGGAAAACUCACCGGGAGCGACCUUUGGAUGAGAGUCAACUUGAUGAGUUUACUCGAUAGAAGGAGAGGUGGUGCAUGGCCGUCGUCAGCUCGUACCGUAGGGCGUUCACUUAAGUGUGAUAACGCGCGAGACCCCCAUCUCUAAUUGCCAGUAUGUCUUUGCGGACAUGCGCACUUUAGAGGGACCGCCAGCGCUAAGCUGGAGGAAGGAGGGGUCGACGGCAGGUCAGUACGCCCCGAAUCUCCCGGGCUACACGCGCGCUACAAAGGACAGGACAAUGAGUUGCAACCUCGAAAGGGGGAACUAACCUCGAAACCUGUUCAUAGUUAGGAUUGAGGGCUGUAACUCGCCCUCAUGAAUGUGGAUUCCGUAGUAAUCGCGGGUCAACAGCCCGCGGUGAAUAUGCCCCUGCUCCUUGCACACACCGCCCGUCAAACCAUCCGAGCUGGUGUUGGAUGAGGGUAUGCCCGAGAGGACAAACUCGAAUCUGAUGUCAGUGAGGAGGGUU
rnacentral:rRNA from 1 species